rnacentral:rRNA from 1 species
CCUACGGGUGGCAGCAGUGAGGAAUAUUGGUCAAUGGGCGAGAGCCUGAACCAGCCAAGUCGCGUGAGGGCAGACGGUCCUAUGGAUUGUAAACCUCUUUUGUCGGGGAGCAAAAAGGCCUCGUGAGGCCACAAGUUAGAGUACCCGAAGAAAAAGCAUCGGCUAACUCCGUGCCAGCAGCCGCGGUAAUACGGAGGAUGCGAGCGUUAUCCGGAUUUAUUGGGUUUAAAGGGUGCGUAGGCGGACUGGAAAGUCAGCGGUAAAAUCGAGAGGCUCAACCUCUUUCCGCCGUUGAAACUUUCGGUCGUGAGUGGGCGAGAAGUAUGCGGAAUGCGUGGUGUAGCGGUGAAAUGCAUAGAUAUCACGCAGAACUCCGAUUGCGAAGGCAGCAUACCGGCGCCCGACUGACGCUGAGGCACGAAAGCGUGGGUAUCGAACAGGAUUAGAUACCCUGGUAGUC